UACGUAGGGGGCUAGCGUUGUCCGGAAUCAUUGGGCGUAAAGAGCGCGUAGGCGGCCAGAUAAGUCCGGUGUGAAAGUCACAGGCUCAACCUGUGAAUGCCGCUGGAAACUGUCUGGCUAGAGUCCGGAAGGGGCGAGUGGAAUUCCUGGUGUAGCGGUGAAAUGCGCAGAUAUCAGGAGGAACACCGAUUGCGAAGGCAGCUCGCUGGGACGUCACUGACGCUGAGACGCGAAAGCGUGGGGAGCAAACAGG
rnacentral:rRNA from 1 species